rnacentral:rRNA from 1 species
GAUGAACGCUGGCGGCGUGCCUAAUACAUGCAGGUCGAGCGAACAGAUAAGGAGCUUGCUCCUUUGACGUUAGCGGCGGACGGGUGAGUAACACGUGGGUAACCUACCUAUAAGACUGGAAUAACUCCGGGAAACCGGGGCUAAUGCCGGAUAAUAUUUAGAACCGCAUGGUUCUAAAGUGAAAGAUGGUUUUACUAUCACUUAUAGAUGGACCCGCGCCGUAUUAGCUAGUUGGUGGGGUAAUGGCUUACCAAGGCAACGAUACGUAGCCGACCUGAGAGGGUGAUCGGCCACACUGGAACUGAGACACGGUCCAGACUCCUACGGGAGGCAGCAGUAGGGAAUCUUCCGCAAUGGGCGAAAGCCUGACGGAGCAACGCCGCGUGAGUGAUGAAGGUCUUCGGAUCGUAAAACUCUGUUAUUAGGGAAGAACAAAUGUGUAAGUAACUGUGCACGUCUUGACGGUACCUAAUCAGAAAGCCACGGCUAACUACGUGCCAGCAGCCGCG